AACGAACGCUGGCGGCAUGCCUAACACAUGCAAGUCGAACGAGACCUUCGGGUCUAGUGGCGCACGGGUGCGUAACGCGUGGGAACCUGCCCUUAGGUUCGGAAUAACUCCCCGAAAGGGGUGCUAAUACCGGAUAAUGUCUUCGGACCAAAGAUUUAUCGCCUUUGGAUGGGCCCGCGUUGGAUUAGCUAGUUGGUAGGGUAAAAGCCUACCAAGGCGACGAUCCAUAGCUGGUCUGAGAGGAUGAUCAGCCACACUGGGACUGAGACACGGCCCAGACUCCUACGGGAAGCAGCAGUGGGGAAUAUUGGACAAUGGGCGAAAGCCUGAUCCAGCAAUGCCGCGUGAGUGAUGAAGGCCUUAGGGUUGUAAAGCUCUUUUACCCGGGAUGAUAAUGACAGUACCGGGUGAAUAAGCUCCGGCUAACUCCGUG
rnacentral:rRNA from 1 species